GUCCACGCCGUAACGAUGUCGACUAGCCGUUGGGCCCUUUAGGGUUAGUGGCGCAGCUAACGCAUUAAGUCGACCGCCUGGGGAGUACGGCCGCAAGGUUAAACUCAAAUGAAUUGACGGGGCCCGCACAAGCGGUGGAGCAUGUGGUUUAAUUCGAUGCAACGCGAAGAACCUUACCUACCCUUGACAUCCAGAGAAUCUGUUAGAGAUAGUAGAGUGCCUUCGGGAGCUCUGAGACAGGUGCUGCAUGGCUGUCGU
rnacentral:rRNA from 1 species